ensembl:snRNA U6 U6 spliceosomal RNA
GUGCUUGCUUUGGCCAGCAUAUAUACUAAAACUGGAACAAUACAGAGAAGAAUAGCAUGGCCCUUGUGCAAGAAUAACAGACAAAUUUGUGAAGCAGUCCAUGUUUUU